CGAUAAUGGAACGCCUGGGCGGCAGGCCUAACACAUGCAAGUCGAGCGGAAACGAUCCUAGCUUGCUAGGAGGCGUCCAGCGGCGGACGGGUGAGUAAUGCAUAGGAAUCUACCCAGUCGUGGGGGAUAACCUGAGGAAACUCAGGCUAAUACCGCAUACGUCCUACGGGAGAAAGCGGGGGCUCUUCGGACCUCGCGCGAUUGGAUGAGCCUAUGUCGGAUUAGCUAGUUGGUAAGGUAACGGCUUACCAAGGCGACGAUCCGUAGCUGGUCUGAGAGGAUGAUCAGCCACACCGGGACUGAGACACGGCCCGGACUCCUACGGGAGGCAGCAGUGGGGAAUAUUGGACAAUGGGCGAAAGCCUGAUCCAGCCAUGCCGCGUGUGUGAAGAAGGCUUUCGGGUUGUAAAGCACUUUCAGCGAGGAAGAAAGCGUGCCGGUCAAUACCCGGUACGGACGACAUCACUCGCAGAAGAAGCACCGGCUAACUCCGUGCCAGCAGCCGCGGUAAUACGGAGGGUGCAAGCGUUAAUCGGAAUUACUGGGCGUAAGGCGCGCGUAGGCGGCGUGUCACGCCGGGUGUGAAAGCCCCGGGCUCAACCUGGGAACGGCAUCCGGAACGGGCAGGCUAGAGUGCAGGAGAGGAAGGUAGAAUUCCCGGUGUAGCGGUGAAAUGCGUAGAGAUCGGGAGGAAUACCAGUGGCGAAGGCGGCCUUCUGGACUGACACUGACGCUGAGGUGCGAAAGCGUGGGUAGCAAACAGGAUUAGAUACCCUGGUAGUCCACGCCGUAAACGAUGUCGACUAGCCGUUGGGUCCCUUUGAG
rnacentral:rRNA from 1 species